GGAUGAACGCUGGCGGCGUGCCUAAUACAUGCAAGUCGAACGAGUUCUGAUUAUUGAAAGGUGCUUGCAUCUUGAUUUAAUUUUGAACGAGUGGCGGACGGGUGAGUAACACGUGGGUAACCUGCCCUUAAGUGGGGGAUAACAUUUGGAAACAGAUGCUAAUACCGCAUAAAUCCAAGAACCGCAUGGUUCUUGGCUGAAAGAUGGCGUAAGCUAUCGCUUUUGGAUGGACCCGCGGCGUAUUAGCUAGUUGGUGAGGUAACGGCUCACCAAGGCAAUGAUACGUAGCCGAACUGAGAGGUUGAUCGGCCACAUUGGGACUGAGACACGGCCCAAACUCCUACGGGAGGCAGCAGUAGGGAAUCUUCCACAAUGGACGCAAGUCUGAUGGAGCAACGCCGCGUGAGUGAAGAAGGCUUUCGGGUCGUAAAACUCUGUUGUUGGAGAAGAAUGGUCGGCAGAGUAACUGUUGUCGGCGUGACGGUAUCCAACCAGAAAGCCACGGCUAACUACGUGCCAGCAGCCGCGGUAAUACGUAGGUGGCAAGCGUUAUCCGGAUUUAUUGGGCGUAAAGCGAGCGCAGGCGGUUUUUUAAGUCUGAUGUGAAAGCCCUCGGCUUAACCGAGGAAGUGCAUCGGAAACUGGGAAACUUGAGUGCAGAAGAGGACAGUGGAACUCCAUGUGUAGCGGUGAAAUGCGUAGAUAUAUGGAAGAACACCAGUGGCGAAGGCGGCUGUCUGGUCUGUAACUGACGCUGAGGCUCGAAAGCAUGGGUAGCGAACAGGAUUAGAUACCCUGGUAGUCCAUGCCGUAAACGAUGAAUGCUAGGUGUUGGAGGGUUUCCGCCCUUCAGUGCCGCAGCUAACGCAUUAAGCAUUCCGCCUGGGGAGUACGACCGCAAGGUUGAAACUCAAAGGAAUUGACGGGGGCCCGCACAAGCGGUGGAGCAUGUGGUUUAAUUCGAAGCAACGCGAAGAACCUUACCAGGUCUUGACAUCUUUUGAUCACCUGAGAGAUCAGGUUUCCCCUUCGGGGGCAAAAUGACAGGUGGUGCAUGGUUGUCGUCAGCUCGUGUCGUGAGAUGUUGGGUUAAGUCCCGCAACGAGCGCAACCCUUAUGACUAGUUGCCAGCAUUUAGUUGGGCACUCUAGUAAGACUGCCGGUGACAAACCGGAGGAAGGUGGGGAUGACGUCAAAUCAUCAUGCCCCUUAUGACCUGGGCUACACACGUGCUACAAUGGAUGGUACAACGAGUUGCGAGACCGCGAGGUCAAGCUAAUCUCUUAAAGCCAUUCUCAGUUCGGACUGUAGGCUGCAACUCGCCUACACGAAGUCGGAAUCGCUAGUAAUCGCGGAUCAGCACGCCGCGGUGAAUACGUUCCCGGGCCUUGUACACACCGCCCGUCACACCAUGAGAGUUUGUAACACCCGAAGCCGGUGGCGUAACCCUUUUAGGGAGCGAGCCGUCUAAGGUGGGACAAAUGAUUAGGGUG
rnacentral:rRNA from 1 species